rnacentral:tRNA from 2 species
CUGGUGGUUUGGGGAGGGUUGGCCCUGGCGCCGGAGGCGCCGGCGUUUUAACGAAUUAGCCGGAGGCGCCGGCGUUUAAUCCCCCAGCGCCAGC